rnacentral:rRNA from 1 species
CUAUACAUGCAAGUCGAACGGUGUCUUCGGACAUAGAGGAGCGCGGGUGCGUAACACGUUUGCUACCUACCUUACCUUGGGGGAUAGCCUUUCGAAAGGGAGAUUAAUACCUCAUAAAACAGUAACUAGGCAUCUAGCAGCUGAUCAAGAUUUAUCGAUGUAUGCUGGGGAUGCAACCAAUUAUCUGGUUGGUGAGGUAAUGGCUCACCAAGGCUAUAAUUGGUGGGGGAACUGAGAGGUCAAUCCCCCACACUGUCACUGAGAUACGGGCCACACUCCUACAGGAGGCACCACUAGGGAAUAUUGGGCAAUGUACGCAAGUCUGACCCACCCAUGCCGCGUGCGGGAUGAAAGCGUUAUGCGUUGUAAACUGGUUUUAUACCGGAACAAACAACUCUGGCCAGAUGCAUUGACGGCACUGUAUGAAUAAACACCGGCUAACUCCGUGCCUACAUCCCCGGUAAUACGGAGGGUGCAAGCGUUGUCCGGAUUUAUUGAGUUUAAAGGGUGCGCACGUGGUUUAUUAAGUCUGUGAUAAAAGACGGACGCUCAACGAUUGCACUGCCAUUGAGACUGGUAGACUUGAUUAAUGUAGACGUGGGCAGAAUUGAUAGAGUACCGGUGAAAUGCAUAGAUGUUAUCAUGAACUCCGAUUGCGUAAGCGGCUCACUUGGCUUUUACUGACACUCAUGCACGAAAGUGCGGGUAUCAGACGAGAUUAGAUACCCUGAUACUCCACACUGUCAA